AGUUCUUUUCUGAGAAACUCCAGUAGUGUCCCCCAGAAGAAAGAAAAUCCUAAUAAAGCAAAGUAAAAACUAUCAUAGUGUUUCAAAGUCACCCAUACAUUGAUACAACCUAAAAAAAUUUGACAUUGCUACAUGCAUACAUUAACUAGACUUGCAUUUAAACACAACUAUGGCAGACAACAGCUAGAACAAGUUUUCCUGCUUAUCUUCAUUAAGUUAGAGGGAGAAUCCCAUUUGACUUUGAUUAAAAUGAUUUAUUCUUUAGAACUCACUCAAACCCUACACCACAACAGUAAAUUUGAACCCACUUGUCUUUGCCCUCAGCCACAGCAGCACAGUAACAACAAAAUGGCUGCCUCAGCUUCCCACUCAACCCUGCCACCACUGCUCACAACAAUCAUUUCCUUCUUCCCCACCAUCACUAGUGGAAGAGUUCACCUCACUUCAGCUGGGUAUGUGAGUUACAUGUGCAGAAAUGUACACAGCACUGCUUUUAUUUAACUUCUUUGUUGUGAAUCAGCAGGGGGAGUAAGCACAGCCCAAUCCCCAGAAGGGACUUUCCAGAGUGCUUUUCCUGACCAGCACUCUGGCAUUCGGGACCAUCACUGGUUCUUCAGCAGCUCCUCAUCUGUUCUGCUAACACGCGAGAGGAUCACAGCAAACAACACAGCCGGCAAAGACUUCUCCUACCACUGGAGCUAAUGGAAGUACAAACUUCAACCCUUCCUCUACUCCAUCUCAACGCCCCCCAGAAACAAUCGGGGACAAGAACCAAAUUACAUUGUAUGUAGUCUUUUAUUUUUCAAAUUACACCUAUUAAAAAAGCUACAGUGAUGUAACUACAAAAAACCUGAAGUAUCAGUUCUUGGAGAGGUUUUUUAAAACACCUUAGUUCUGAAUAACUGAGCACCUAAACUAACUCUUUAGAACUACAAUGUUAAGAGCUUUACAGCAAACACAACUUCACAACUUCUCAAAAAAAUCCGUUUUUCUUGUAUCCCUACAGUCAUUUCUCAUUAAAGAUUUUAUCGUGAAACACUGUGCACUUUAGCAUGCAAUCAAGACAUGAUAAAGAACUAAUAAAAUAAAAAUAAUGUUGAUAUUAUAAGCCUAAUAUUCCAAAGCACAGUAAUUGUUAAAAUCAAAACUCAUACAUCUUACUGGACAAAUAACCCAUCAGGAACAAAGCAUAAUGUUCCACAAACCUGUGUAUUGUUAUAAUGGAUGUUGCCCAUAUAUUUUAAGUAUUACAACCAAGAAAAAAAAACAAAACACCACUAAACUGAUAACCUAAGUAACAUCAUAUAAUCAGGAAAAAAUGGAGCUUUAAAAUGAGAAAGCCCUCACAUCUUUGCUGAUAACAGCAUUCCAGGCCAGAGCAACUCUUACAACUACCCAUGCCCCUAAAGGAAGCUACACCUAUUUAUUUCAUCAGAACCAAAACCAGAAUCAAGGUCUACACUAGGAACAGAUAGAACUACAGUAGAAAUUAAUUUAGCCACUGUAAAAGCCUGUUCUCUCAGCCCCUUCAGACUAACAUUCAUGUUCACUUUUUCUAUACUGUUACAUAGGUUAAAAUACCAGAUUUUAAAGCAUCCAUGAAGCCUCUCAAUGACUACAAGAUAUACAUGAACUCCUUGGUGUUCAGACAGUUGGAAACUUUACAUCCCUCGAUUAGUCUAAUAUGCGGUAAUUAAUAUUGGGUGGUGCAGGCUAUCCUAGCAGAAAUCUGCUCUGGUUUUCAUUCUUACAGGACACAGACAGCUUUAAGCGAAUCCUGUAAGAAAACAAAAUAUUCUGGUGGACAGUGCUGUAUACAAAACAGAACCUUCUCCCCGCCUGCCCUCCAUCUCCAGCCAAUUUCGACACUGCAAUUGCCUAUCCCUGCACAAAUGAGGCUGCCGCGUGCAUGACGGGUAAGGCGCAGUUGUUGGUGCCAGCACCACCCACCCGCGGAAGCCUCUGCUACUGAACCGUCUGGUUCAUUCCCCUCCCUCACGUGUAAACGGUCAUUAAGGGCUUCCACAAAAAAAAAAAAAAAAAAAAAAAAAAGUUUAAAAAAAAAAAAAAAAGUGCUUUAUACACCGCAGGAUGGAAUUGCUAUAGCGACGACCUGGCUCCAAGUUUUCACCUCCCCUCUUUGUUUACCACGCCUUGCCGCUUUCAGCCUGGGAGGAAUCGCAUCUACGAGCGAAACCGAAUCCUCCCAGGCCUGCACGUGGGGCAGACAAUGGCACCGGGAGGGAGUUCACUGCCAGUGUGAUUCAGCCCAGAGUUGCCUGUCCUGGGAGGCUUCUGAAGGCUCUUGGGCCGUGUUGGCAGCCAGGCUGUGAGCCAGGAGCGCUGGACUUGGGUUGAGAGAAUUCCCUUUACUGUUAAAGACAACAUUUAAUGAUGACAGAAGAUUAAAUGGCCUGUGCAGAAUCUUUUGCCUCUGGAGCCACCAGUACACACCUAGGAAGGCAGCAAAAGCCCCAGGAUUUUCUAACAUCAGGCACAGCUUGGAACACAGCCUAAUGGCCGAGUCUCUCUUUGGCUGCUCUGUUUUUGGACUCCUGCAAACUGUGGCACCUGCACCAUGUCAGGCCAGCAAAGCUUUGGUUACAAUCCAUGGAGCACCCAGCACCCCUCCCCUUGAUUCUGACCCUGUUACCUGGUGAUUGAUCCCUGCAGCUCCUGCACCACCUGAAAGGACACAGCCGUUCCCUCUCCAGCCCCCUCAGGCUUUGGCUGUGUGAGCUGCCAGUCGUAGUGAACAACUCCACACAAAUCCAUCCAUCCUCUGUGCCCUGAGUAUUAUCCUCAUCUUUGUCAUCUGGCUACUCAGAUUGUAUUUAGGUUUUUCAAGGCCACUGCUGUUUCUUCAUUCAUAAUUGCUUAGGAAGCAAUCAGAAGCUUAUGCUGUUUCACAAACUGAUGGUAUUUUACCCAGCAAUUUUUUUGCUACAGCCAACUGUUCAAACCCAACUGGCACAGGACAAAUGAAAAAAUAAUACAACUGUAAUAUUUGUAAUAAAAAUGCAAUCUGUAAAGAAGGAAGAGAAUGUUGAGGGGCAAACUGAAGGCACCACUGAAACCAUUCCCAUUUCCCUCUGUCACCUUUCCAGCUCCUUAUGUUGCUGGGAAGCACACAGACAGACUCUGCUUUGAGCAUUCCCACAGUGAUUUU